GUAGACUUUGGAUUUCUUAAAGAAACCUAUAAAUAGGCUAAUCAAUGUAAAUCAAAGGAAUGAAUUUUGAUGAAUAAUAUUAUACUUUCUUUUAUUGCAAGAUUGCAACCCUCAAUGGUGAGACUCCAUUGAUUUUUCUUCUAGGUGAAACUCCUAGAAGGCCUUAGUGAGACUCUAAGGUUUUCCAUCUUUUCUUCAUUGUUUCUUCUUUCUCUCUAUUUCUUAUCUUAUAAUUUUCUCUACCAUAAAGUUUAUUCCUUGUUCCUCUCCUUACACCCUAAAAAUAAAACCCUAGCCCACUUACCCUUGAGUGUAGGCAACCAUCCUAGGGUUGUCCUACAUCAAUUUUGGUAUCAGAGCCAAAGUUCUUGGCAUGAAGGCAUAUGCAAUUAAGGAGCGGAGCAACUUAUGAAAGCAUGAGUUUUAAAAAAACUUCUAGCAAUCAAGAUGGCGCUACAAUACACUUAGAGAAAAUUUCAGCCACACAACAAUCCCAUCAAGAUGCUAUAAUACAACUAAAUAGCAAACUUGAUGAGAUCAUGAAGUUAUUAGAAAAGAGCUAAGAAAAACGACCAAUUGAAGAGGAGAUCGCAAGUCAUCAAUUUAGACAGUCGCCAAGUCGAUCACGCGAAGAACAAGACAAUUUUAUGAUGGUGAAUCAAAGAAGGGCCAAACUUUUUGAGCUAGGUGAUGAUGUGACAAAAAAGGUACGUCUUGAAGUUGCUGAAUUUUAUGGAAAACUAAAUCCAACAGCUUUUCUUGAUUGAAUUAUGUCAAUGGAAGAUUACUUUGAUUGGUAUGCAAUGCCCGAAAAUAGAAAAGUUCGUUUUGUAAAGGCAAAGUUGAAAGGAGCAGCACGUCUAUGGUGGCAUAAUAUUGAGAAUCAAGUUCAUAGAACUGGCCAACCGCCUAUUGACACAUGGGACGAGAUGAAGUUGAAGAUGAAGGAGCACUUUCUCCCAACUGAUUAUGAACAAGUUAUGUAUACAAAAUUGUUUUCCCUUAAACAAUGUACCAAGUUCGUUGAAGAAUAUACAGAAGAAUUUCAUGAAUUGAGCAUUUGAAAUCAAGUGCGGGAAAGUGAUGCUCAACUUGCAGCCCGCUACAAAGCUGGACUUCGAAUGAAGAUUCAACUUGAGAUGAUAGCUACACACACUUAUACCGUAGAUGACGUUUAUCAACUAGCCCUCAAAAUAGAAAAAGGCCUCAAAUUUCGAGUUUCCAGGCGUCCAAGUUCACAAAUUGGGAGCCCUUUCUCCAACAGGACAACAAGCAAACCUUUAAGCACUACAAACUUCAGAACUUCUAAUCAUGUGAAUGGUGGGAGCAACACUCAACAAACUUCGAAUGUGACUUAUAAGAAUGGUAAUAAGGGUAAAAAUUCAAUGAGUAAUGGAGAUAGAAAAGUAGACGUGACUCCUUUAUGCUUUAAGUGUGGUGGACAUGGUCAUUAUGCUGUUGUAUGCCCAACCAAAAGUUUACACUUUUGUGUUGAAGAACCAGAAUCUGAAUUGGAAAGUUACCCAAAGGAAGAAGAGACCUACAAUGAAGAUGAAGUUAGUGAAGAAUGUGACUAUGAUGGUAUGACGGAAGGACAUAGUCUUGUAGUACGACCUUUAUUAACCGUUCCAAAAGUAAAAGGAGAAGAAGAUUGGCGACGUACUAGCAUUUUCCAAACACGUAUUUCUUGCCAAGGGAGAUUAUGCACCAUGAUCAUUGAUGGAGGUAACAAUUUGAACAUAGCCUCACAAGAACUUGUUGAGAAGCUAAACCUUAAAACAGAGAGACAUCCAAAUCCAUUCAGAGUAGCAUGGGUUAAUGACACCUUUAUCCCGGUAAGUUUUCGUUGUUUAGUAACAUUCCUUUUUGGUAAGGACUUUGAAGAGUUUGUAUGGUGUGAGGUCUUACCCAUUAAAGUAAGUCAUAUUUUACUUGGAAGACCUUGGCUCUUUGAUAAAAAAGUUCAACAUGACGGCUAUGAAAAUACAUAUGCUCUCAUACACAACGGACGUAAGAAGAUCCUUCAUCCAAUGAAAGAAGUCCCUCCAAGUAAGAAGUCAGAUGAGAAUGCAUAACCAAAAAAGGUACUUACUAUGUGUCAAUUUGAAAAUGAGAGCAAGGAAACUAAAGUUAUUUUUGCUUUAAUGGCUCGGAAAGUGGAAGAAUUUAAAGAACAAGAUAAGGAAUAUCCAAUAAACGCACGUAAAAUCCUUGAUGACUUUUCUGACUUGUGGCUUGCAAAGUUACCUAAUGAACUCCCUCCUAUGCGUAACGUACAACAUGCCAUUGAUUUGAUUCCCGGUGCAUCAUUACUAAAUUUACCAACCUACAGAAUGAAUCCAACAAAGCAUGCUGAAUUGAAAAGGCAAGUUGAUGAAUUACUUACUAAAGGCUUUAUUCGUGAAAGCCUAAGUCCUUGUGGAGUUCCUGCCCUACUAACACCAAAGAAGGAUGGAUCAUGGCGGAUGUGUGUGGAUAGUCGUGCAAUCAACAAAAUCACAAUCAAGUAUCGAUUUCCAAUUCCAAGACUUGAUGACAUGCUAGAUAUGAUGGUUGGAUCAGUAAUCUUCUCAAAGACUGAUCUAAGAAGUGGAUAUCAUCAAAUACGUAUUAGACUAGGGGAUGAAUGAAACACAUCUUUCAAAACUAAGGAUGGAUUGUAUGAGUGGUUAGUCAUGUCGUUUGGACUAACCAAUGCUCCAAGUACCUUCAUGCGGAUUAUGACGCAGGUAUUAAAACCUUUUAUUGGACGGUUUGUUGUUGUCUAUUUUGAUGAUAUUCUUAUUUAUAGUCGAUUUUGUGAAGAUCAUGAGGAACACUUGAAGCAAGUAAUGCGCACUCUUAGGGCUAAAAAGUUUUACAUUAAUUUGAAAAAAUGUACUUUCAUGAGCCCUAGUGUUGUAUUUCUUGGCUUUGUUGUGUCUUCUAAGGGUGUUGAAACAGAUCCGGAGAAGAUCAAAGCUAUUGUUGAUUGGCCAGUACCAACAAAUAUCCAUGAGGUGCGAAGCUUCCAUGGAAUGACUACAUUCUAUCGACGAUUUAUUCGAAAUUUCAACUCCAUUAUGGCCCCAAUUACUGAAUGCAUGAAACCUAAUUUAUUUAUUUGGACCAAGGCGGCCAACAAGGCAUUUGAAGAAAUCAAAUCCAAGAUGGUGAACCCUCUUAGCCCACAUCUUGAGAUCGAGUAUGUUCUUGAUGAUCAACUUGUGUCUACUCGACAAGGUGGAUACCAAAAUUUUUUGUUAAAAUGGCGAGGCAAACCACACUCUGAGAAUACAUGGAGUACGACAACGGAUUUUCAUAAGCUUAACCCCGAUCUUUAUGAGUUGUAUCAAGCGUCUAACUCGUCGGAGCCGAGUUCUUUCAAGCCGGGGAGAAUUGAUUAGGGAAAGCCUUUUAAAGUUUAUUCAAGGAAGAAAAGGAAGACCUAAGUAAACUUUAAGUAGGAUUAAUAUUAAUUAGAAUUGAAUAGGGAUUGGUAUUUGUUGGAGUCUAAUUAAGAUUAGCUAGUUGAGUUAUAAUAUAAUUAGAAUUUGAGUCAUGAUAGGUUAUUAGAGUCCUAGUAGACUUUGGAUGUUAUAAUUAGAAUUAGAAUCAUAAUAGGUUAUUAGAGUUCUAGUAGACUAUGGAUUUCUUAGAGAAGCCUAUAAAUAGGCUAAUCAAUGUAAAUCAAAGGAAUAAAUUUUGAUGAAUAAUAUUAUACUUUCUUUUAUUGCAAGAUUGCAACCCUCAAUGGUGAGAUUCCAUUGAUUUUUCUUCUAGGUGAGACUCCUACAAGGCUUUAGUGAGACUCUAAGGUUUUCCAUCUUUUCUUCAUUGUUUCUUUUUUCUCUCUAUUUCUUAUCUUAUAAUUUUCUCUACCAUAAAGUUUAUUCCUUGUUCCUCUCCUUACACCCUAAAAAUAAAACCCUAGCCCACCUACCCUUGAGUGUAGGCAACCAUCCUAGGGUUGUCCUACAUCAAU
rnacentral:lncRNA from 1 species